ACAAGACAAAGUUCUAAUCACAAUUUCAGUUGCUCUUUGCUGCAGCCAAUGGAUGGACAGGCAACAUCUUAACUAACUCCAUGGCAGUGGUUGUUCAAACAAUUUUCUUAAAGCCAAAUAACAACUUGAGCACAUGUACAACGCUACAAGGAGGUAUUCUAUGAUUUCUAUCCCCUGAUUCGUUUGAUAUGCACGUUGUCCUUAAUAAUAAAAAUCCCACAUACAGGAUACAGCUAUUUGUAUACAUUAUAAGUUUUGAUGUUCCACAAGAAGGUAGGAACCAUGAUCACACUUAACUAUUUUCUGUCUCUUCUCUUCCAAUGUUUCCGGCCCAUGAGAAAACCUAAGCAUUUCUCCUUAUAUUUCAUUCUAUCAAUUUCCCCUGUAUUGAAUGCAGCUCCAUUUACUAGAAUGUAUGUUAUACAAUUUCCAUUUCUUUAUACUCUAGUCUGAUGUUUAAACGUGUAUUUCUUUUGAGGGUAAUCACCUCAGAGCAAAGCUUUUGUUUGAGUAACUUCAUCCCCCACCCCAGUUGGUAAAUAGAUUACAAAGCAAGAACCAUCAAAAUAUAAAGCCAUAUUUUAAUGGUCUGAUAAUUUUGAGGUCUUCUGCCAACAAAACACGUCCCAACCCUCUAACACCGCAUAUCUGAGGGUUGGAUUAUUGUUCAAAAAUCAGCUACUUCCAGUGGAGUAGCACUAGGCUAAAAUCGUGAAUCACAGCCCUCGAUGGAUUGAUAUGGCCCCCCACCUUGGGCCACAGCAAUGCAUCGAAGGCCGUGAUUUCACAGUUUUGGAGUGGAGUAGCUGAUUUCUCCUCCAAUUAUUGCUAGUUGAUAACCACAUGAUACGGGCAGAACCAAAGGAUACUGGUUCACGUGAUAUGCUUAUGAUAAGCUCAAUUACAGCGAGCCUCAGAGAGACAGAGCGUACAGUACAGUGAUGACAGAAUCAACUACUGAGCCUGAGUCGAUCAUUUAACAUGGGCCCAACGUUGCCUCAUGAUCGUAUCCGACGGUGCGCGGCAGACAUGCGGAAAGUCCGAAGUAGCAGAGAUCCAUGCCGCCGUUAACGGCCCCAGCAGAAUCCGGUUUUUGAAAUUUGAAAAACAAAAAAGGCCGGGAACGGGAAGCCAAGGAAUAAUAAUGAAUUGAAUAUUAAAAGGCAAUCAUUGAGUUGAGGCCUUUUUGGCACUAAUUCGAUGGAUCAUUGAGUAGGGCCCCGAGCAACCAGCACAAUAAUAGCUGAGAACGUGCAACAGAUGUCACCCGUACACGUGUCCCACAUCUAGCGGUCCAUGUGGGUUUCCUAAUGCUUGUAGUCUGACAACAGUUGUCAGCCAGACUGGCUCUGCCUUUUCUUCUUCUGAGAUUCUCUUUCUCCCCCCCCAACGCUCCUGAAUCCUGAGCCAAACAAGGUAAUUGGCUUCUCCGAGCGAAGCCAGACGUCUCAGACCCUGCGUUGUGUUGUGUGUGUGUAUAUAUUGGGGGAGUCUGGAGAGGAAGGCACAACGAGACGAGACACGGGAAUCAAGUAGAGAGAAUAGUGAAGUAUCAAAAAGAGGAGUAGAGGCAGAGCCAGUUUUAAUAGGGAUUCAAAUGGAAUUGACGAGAGUUUCUUCUGCAACAAUGGCCGUUCUGGCUUUCUUCCUGGUCCUGUUGCUCCCUGCCAUCAACGCUCAGGGUCCUGCUCCUGCUCCUACAAGCGAUGGAAUUGCCAUAGACCAAGGAAUAGCAUAUGUGUUGAUGUUAGCUGCUCUGGUGCUCACCUAUAUCAUGCACUGAGACUGAGCUCAAUAAAGACGGAAAAGGGAUGUAAACAGAACGAUCUGGGUUUAUUUCUUCUAAUGGUUAUAUGAUACAUUGCUAAUUUCUUGUUUUUAUGGAUUCUAGUUCUCAAUUCUUUUUUCCUUCUUCCCUUUCUUUCCACCCAUUUCCCAUUUUUUUCUUGUUUCAUUUCUUUGUUUUCACCACCUCCAUUGUCAAUCUGUAACCUUGUUUGAGAAUUAAUUGGAAUUGAUUUCUGGCUUGGUUGACGGAUCUA